UACGUAGGGGGCAAGCGUUGUCCGGACUUACUGGGCGUAAAGCGUGUGCAGGCGGGCCGCUAUGUGCCGUGUGAAAGCUCUCAGCUUAUCUGGGAGAGGUCGCGGUAGACAGGCAGCCUGGAGGCUCGGAGAGGUCAGUGGAAUUCUCGGUGUAGUGGUGAAAUGCGUAGAUAUCGAGAGGAACACCAGUGGCGCAAAGCGGGCUGACUGGGCCCGAGACCU
rnacentral:rRNA from 1 species